UCCAUGCUUGUUUUGGCACCCAAGGUACUUUUGAUAGUUUACCGUGGGAUCUUUGCUUCUUUAGUAUGUCUGACUAUAUCAAAUUUCUCCUCGUCCUAUUACUGUUACACUUGUGGUGGUGUUGUUUUACUUAUGAUUUUAAUAGUAAGGUCUGAACAUUUAUUAUAUUUCUUGCAUUUUCUUAUUGGUUUUGAAACCUUAGCUCAUAAUGGUUCUAAAUAUUUGAUAAUGACUCUUAAGUUUGAUGUGACAGACAGACAAUAGAUGAUCCAAAGUGGUGGAUGGUUUCAAAUACAUGCUUUUAUUUGUUUUCAAGAAUUUCUUAGCUUAUGGUUGGGCAUCCACAAUAAGACUAUGGUGAUGUUUGUUGCAUUUAGCAGCAUGGUUGAAGAGAAGAAGUUCUUUGGAGCGUCAGUCAGUUGGUCAUGACUUGUUAAAUUGAGGGAUUCUUAUAUGAUCAAGUGAGUUUGGCAGGCUAUGGUUGGAAGAAAUAAGUGGCAAUUUAUUUUUUGGGCUAGCAUUCAAGAAUAUUGAUGCGGAACUGGUCUCAAACUGAAUGGCAAAAAAGGAUCCAUAUAG
rnacentral:misc_RNA from 1 species